AGUCAUAAAGAUGACUCUUAAGAAUGUGACACGGGAAGAUGAAGGCUUCUACAGGUGUGCGUCCCACGACAGACAGCUGCAGAGUCCAGAGAGCUGGUUAUCAGUGAGACCGGACAGAGGUUCCUGGAAAUGGAUCAUUGCUUCAUGUGGGGUUCUACUUCUGAUCGUCAUUCCUUUGACUGUUUGGCUCGUUUGUCACUACAGGUACCAGAAGUUCUGC